rnacentral:tRNA from 1 species
AAAAUUAUAGUUAAUAAUAAUAUUGGUUUUGCGUACUAAAGGUACUAUAUGAUUAUAGUUAAUUUUG